AUUUGAAGGUGGGGAUAUUGUCUAAGUAGCUCUUUAAAUCUUUCCCAAGCAUCAAAGAAGGACUCGUCAUAUCCUUGCCUAAAUGAUGUGAUCUCAUUUCUCAUCUU